CGGUUUGAGCACUAGACGKSUUUYAUGCGUUUGAAACCCGCCUUGGCUUUCGGUGAUUCAUAAUAAACUGGCGAAUCGCAUUUAGCGAUGGACCAUUCAAGUUUCUGACCCAUCAGCUUGACGGYAGGGUAUUGGCCUACCGAGGCAGCAACGGGUAACGGGGAAUUAGGGUUCGAUUCCGGAGAGGGAGCCUGAGAGACGGCUACCACAUCUAAGGAAGGCAGCAGGCGCGCMAAUUACCCAAUCCUGACACAGGGAGGUAGUGACMAGAAAUAACAAUACAGGGCUAAUGUCUUGUAAUUGGAAUGAUGGUGACCCAAACCCUCACCAGAGUAGCAAUUGGAGGGCAAGUCUGGUGCCAGCAGCCGCGGUAAUUCCAGCUCCAAUAGCGUAUAUWAAACUUGUUGCAGUUAAAAAGCUCGUAGUUGAAUUUUAGCGUGUUCGAGUUUGCCAUUCGUUUGGCUUUUUCGAGUUCGCUUUUGGGUUUUCCCUUUUUACUUUGAGAAAACUAKUGGUUUUYMAAGCAA
rnacentral:rRNA from 1 species